rnacentral:rRNA from 1 species
ACGGGAGGCAGCAGUGGGGGAUAUUGCACAAUGGGGGAAACCCUGAUGCAGCGACGCCGCGUGGGUGAUGAAGUAUUUCGGUAUGUAAAGCUCUAUCAGCAGGAAAGAUAAUGACGGUACCUGACUAAGAAGCACCGGCUAAAUACGUGCCAGCAGCCGCGGUAAUACGUAUGGUGCAAGCGUUAUCCGGAUUUACUGGGCGUAAAGGGAGCGCAGACGGCAUGGCAAGCCAGAUGUGAAAGGCAGGGGCUCAACUCCUGGACUGCAUUUGGAACUGUCAAGCUAGAGUAUCGGAGAGGUAAGUGGAAUUCCUAGUGUAGCGGUGAAAUGCGUAGAUAUUAGGAGGAACACCAGUGGCGAAGGCGGCUUACUGGACGAUAACUGACGUUGAGGCUCGAAAGCGUGGGGAGCAAACAGGAUUAGAUACCCUGGUA